AAAACUUAAAAAUAUAUCAUAGGGAGUUUAUCAUUGUAAUAAACACACGAAGAAAUGUUAUUAAUUGUCAAAAGCUCCAUAAUCGAACAACUAUGACAAAAAAAGAAGAAAAAAUAAGCGUCAAAAGGAAAAAAUAAAGAAAGAAAGGAAAACUAACUAUUCAAAUUAUGAAUUUAAGGAAAUUAUUAAUUCCUCGAGGUUGCACCCCAAUAUAUAUAUAUUUAGAAGCCCUAAAUCGCUGCUAUAACUUUCUCUCCA
rnacentral:lncRNA from 1 species